AGUGAACGCUGGCGGUAGGCCUAACACAUGCAAGUCGAACGGCAGCACAGUAAGAGCUUGCUCUUACGGGUGGCGAGUGGCGGACGGGUGAGGAAUACAUCGGAAUCUACUUUUUCGUGGGGGAUAACGUAGGGAAACUUACGCUAAUACCGCAUACGACCUACGGGUGAAAGCAGGGGAUCUUCGGACCUUGCGCGAUUGAAUGAGCCGAUGUCGGAUUAGCUAGUUGGCGGGGUAAAGGCCCACCAAGGCGACGAUCCGUAGCUGGUCUGAGAGGAUGAUCAGCCACACUGGCACUGAGACACGGUCCAGACUCCUACGGGAGGCAGCAGUGGGGAAUAUUGGACAAUGGGCGCAAGCCUGAUCCAGCCAUACCGCGUGGGUGAAGAAGGCCUUCGGGUUGUAAAACCCUUUUGUCGGGAAAGAAAAGCAGCAGGUUAAUACCCCGCUGUUCUGACGGUACCCAAAGAAUAAGCACCGGCUAACUUCGUG
rnacentral:rRNA from 1 species